rnacentral:rRNA from 1 species
AGAGUUUGAUCCUGGCUCAGGAUGAACGCUGGCGGCGUGCCUAACACAUGCAAGUCGAGCGAUCUUCUUCGGAAGAGAGCGGUGGACGGGUGAGUAACGCGUGGGUAACCUGCCUCAUACACAUGGAUAACAUACCGAAAGGUAUGCUAAUACAAGAUGAUAUAAGAGAUUCGCAUGGAUUUCUUAUCAAAGCUCCGGCGGUAUGAGAUGGACCCGCGUCUGAUUAGCUAGUUGGUAAGGUAACGGCUUACCAAGGCGACGAUCAGUAGCCGACCUGAGAGGGUGAUCGGCCACAUUGGAACUGAGACACGGUCCAAACUCCUACGGGAGGCAGCAGUGGGGAAUAUUGCACAAUGGGCGAAAGCCUGAUGCAGCAACGCCGCGUGAGCGAUGAAGGCCUUCGGGCCGUAAAGCUCUGUCCUCAAGGAAGAUAAUGACGGUACUUGAGGAGGAAGCCCCGGCUAACUACGUGCCAGCAGCCGCGGUAAUACGUAGGGGGCUAGCGUUAUCCGGAUUUACUGGGCGUAAAGGGUGCGUAGGUGGUUUCUUAAGUCAGGAGUGAAAGGCUACGGCUCAACCGUAGUAAGCUCUUGAAACUGGGAAACUUGAGUGCAGGAGAGGAAAGUGGAAUUCCUAGUGUAGCGGUGAAAUGCGUAGAUAUUAGGAGGAACACCAGUAGCGAAGGCGGCUUUCUGGACUGUAACUGACACUGAGGCACGAAAGCGUGAGGAGCAAACAGGAUUAGAUACCCUGGUAGUCCACGCCGUAAACGAUGAGUACUAGGUGUCGGGGGUUACCCCCCUCGGUGCCGCAGCUAACGCAUUAAGUACUCCGCCUGGGGAGUACGCUCGCAAGAGUGAAACUCAAAGGAAUUGACGG